rnacentral:rRNA from 1 species
GACGAACGCUGGCGGCGUGCCUAACACAUGCAAGUCGAACGGGGUGAUUCACUUCGGUGGAUCACUUAGUGGCGAACGGGUGAGUAACGCGUGAGAAACCUGCCUUUCAGUGGGGGACAACAGUUGGAAACGACUGCUAAUACCGCAUAACGUUAUUUAGGGGCAUCCCUGAAUAACCAAAGCUUUAUGUGCUGAAAGAUGGUCUCGCGUCUGAUUAGCUAGAUGGCGGGGUAACGGCCCACCAUGGCGACGAUCAGUAGCCGGUCUGAGAGGAUGAACGGCCACAUUGGGACUGAGAUACGGCCCAGACUCCUACGGGAGGCAGCAGUGGGGAAUAUUGGGCAAUGGGGGAAACCCUGACCCAGCAACGCCGCGUGAAGGAAG